UUACGACCGUAUCAUGUUGAAACACCAGCUCUCAUACGAUCAUCGAAGUUAAGCAACAUUGAACCUGGUCUGUACCUAGAUAGGUAACUGUUUUGGAUUUUCAGGUGCUGUAAG